rnacentral:rRNA from 1 species
AACGAACGCUGGCGGCGUGCCUAACACAUGCAAGUCGAACGAGAAUCCGGGCUUCGGUCCGGUAGUAAAGUGGCGCACGGGUGAGUAACACGUGGGUAACGUGCCUUAUAGUGGGGGAUAACCAGGUGAAAGCUUGGCUAAUACCGCAUGAGUCCGUCGGGACGCCGGUCCUGACGGGGAAAGUGGAGCAAUCCACGCUAUGAGAUCGGCCCGCGGCCCAUUAGCUAGUUGGCGGGGUAACGGCCCACCAAGGCGACGAUGGGUAGCUGGUCUGAGAGGAUGAUCAGCCACACUGGGACUGAGACACGGCCCAGACUCCUACGGGAGGCAGCAGUGGGGAAUCUUAGACAAUGGGCGCAAGCCUGAUCUAGCCAUGCCGCGUGAGCGAUGAAGGCCUUAGGGUUGUAAAGCUCUUUCAGUGGGGAAGAUAAUGACUGUACCCACAGAAGAAGCCCCGGCUAACUCCGUGCCAGCAGCCGCGGUAAAGUAGUCG